GCAAGUCGAACGAAGCUUUGAGAAGCUUGCUUUUUAAAGCUUAGUGGCGGACGGGUGAGUAACGCGUGAGCAACCUGCCUCUCAGAGGGGGAUAACGUUUUGAAAAGAACGCUAAUACCGCAUAACAUAUCGGAACCGCAUGAUUCUGAUAUCAAAGGAGCAAUCCGCUGAGAGAUGGGCUCGCGUCCGAUUAGUUAGUUGGUGAGGUAACGGCUCACCAAGACUACGAUCGGUAGCCGGACUGAGAGGUUGAUCGGCCACAUUGGGACUGAGACACGGCCCAGACUCCUACGGGAGGCAGCAGUGGGGGAUAUUGCGCAAUGGGGGAAACCCUGACGCAGCAACGCCGCGUGAAGGAAGAAGGUCUUCGGAUUGUAAACUUCUUUUGUCAGGGACGAAGAAAGUGACGGUACCUGACGAAUAAGCUCCGGCUAACUACGUGCCAGCAGCCGCGGUAAUACGUAGGGAGCGAGCGUUGUCCGGAUUUACUGGGUGUAAAGGGUGCGUAGGCGGCCGAGCAAGUCAGUUGUGAAAACUAUGGGCUUAACCCAUAACGUGCAAUUGAAACUGUCCGGCUUGAGUGAAGUAGAGGUAGGCGGAAUUCCCGGUGUAGCGGUGAAAUGCGUAGAGAUCGGGAGGAACACCAGUGGCGAAGGCGGCCUACUGGGCUUUAACUGACGCUGAGGCACGAAAGCAUGGGUAGCAAACAGGAUUAGAUACCCUGGUAGUCCAUGCCGUAAACGAUGAUUACUAGGUGUGGGGGGACUGACCCC
rnacentral:rRNA from 1 species